rnacentral:rRNA from 1 species
UACGGGGGGGGCAAGCGUUGCUCGGAAUUACUGGGCGUAAAGGGCUCGUAGGCGGCCAACUAAGUCGGACGUGAAAUCCCUCGGCUUAACCGGGGAACUGCGUCCGAUACUGGAUGGCUUGAGUUUGGGAGAGGGAUGCGGAAUUCCAGGUGUAGCGGUGAAAUGCGUAGAUAUCUGGAGGAACACCGGUGGCGAAGGCGGCAUCCUGGACCAAUUCUGACGCUGAGGAGCGAAAGCCAGGGGAGCAAACGGG